AAAGCAACCACGACAGCGUCAGUGUGAGGGGACUGGUUCCCUCACAGCACACACACCCCCUCCUCUUUCCCUCUGUCUCUUCCUUAUAUCCGUCCAGCGUUCACGCUCUGCUCAGUUAGUUGGGGAAACACACUCAGCCACUGGAGCGCAAGGAAAGGUAUGUUUGGUUACACAUCAUGUAGAGCAAGCAGGGGCUUCCACCACUUCAGCAAGGGGUGCUUUCUUAUCUUUGUUAUUUAGGAAACAUUUUAAAGACAUCAGCACCGUUUCACAUUGCUGAGCAGUAGAAAAGUUUGAAAAAAGACAUGAGCCUUUAAUCAGGGUUGGCAGGGCGUCUUGGAAGGAGAGGCACGACCGAAAAACUCCUUUUUUUGUAAGCUUUGCGGAAUAAAAGACAAAGGAGGAUGGAAGUAUUCACAUGAAACAGCUUUGUUACCCUCCCACCCCCAUCUGCCCAUCAACUGACUCCAUUCUUCAACUUGACAUCAUCCUUCCACACAGACAAGAAGCAGAAGAAGAAGGAGAAGAGAGAGGCAGCGGUGGUGAGGCAAAGCAGGCGAGAAGAGAGGAGGAAGAGCAGAGAGAGGAGGUGGGCAGCACAGUUUUCAGCUCUCACACGGCUGAGGAGGAGAAAGUGACAGCAGCUAGAACUUGGCCACUAGUGAGAUGAAAUUCGGGGAGGAGACGCUGGAGCGCUGCGGGAGACGACGUCCAACGAGAGCCCUGAAAUUGGAGCGCCUGGAAGACGAGCCAGCCCUCUCUGGAUCCUGUGCCCCACCACAGCCGAAGGAUGAGAGGGGUCGACUUUCGCCUUAGUUGCCAGGGAUGUCUGUGCACUACGGAAAGGCGUCCCCCUCCAGCAUGUCCAAUGCUAUGUUAUUCCUGAUGCUUUGCAAGGUGGCUUCAGCACAGAGAAGACAGAGUAAACAGAAAGCAAUACACAUGCCAACACAGAUAAAAGAUUGGUCUGAGACGAAAACUGCAGACUUUUCCAGGGAAAAUGGUAAACACUGUCUACAAUGAUGAGGAAAAGGGAAUCCAAGACAAGGAAAGUAAGGAGGAGAGCAUCUUGGCCAUGCUGGGCAUCAUUGGGACCAUUCUCAACCUGGUAGUGAUCAUCUUUGUCUACAUCUACACCACCUUGUAGGUUUAAAACUCUUUCUGUGCUUCAUCCGCUGGAAGAGCAGAGCCCUUGUGAGCUAUUACAGCUGCAUUGUGUUGACUGGUAUGGAGAUAAAGAUGGGAGGAGCGAGGAAGAGGCAGAAAUUACUCGGUGGUGAACUGGAUCUAAGACUCGGCCAUUUGGCAUCCCUCCUGCAUCACUUCAAAAAGCUGAGACUCUGGGAAACUGGUUCCUUCUUCUCCCCUUCACAGGUAGAUUUAUCCAGAAUGUCUGGUCAUUUUUGACUUGUACAUAAAUGCAUGAAACUGGCACUCAAGAGAUGCAGCUUUUACCAACAUGUGGACUUAAAAGACUGCAGAGAGAGAGUGGACAGUUUUGGCGAAUAUUUUCCAGAUGUUCUUAUAAACUCAAGUAUGAAAAUUGUCUGAUCUGCUUCCAUGGGACAAAAGAUGUACAGAGAAAGUCAACACAGGUAUCUGCAGUGCUGUUUAUUAUUUUUCCACUUACUAAGAUUUAAACAGGCAUAUUAAAAAGUAAAAUGUUAUUCAGCUUGAUUUAAUGUUUGCUUUUAUACUGUAUACUUUCUCAUGAUGCUUUCAAAAUUCUCAACUUUGGAUGACAGUUUUUUGAGACUUUAUCACCUGAAAAUGAGUUAUGUUCACUUAGUUUUAAGUUGUUUCAUGUACAUUUAUUGAAACAAGUGGUGUCUUUAAAUGGCUAAAUGUCAGUUUAAAGUGCUAAAAUGCAUCCAUAAUGGAUACACUUGACAUUGUGCUUGACUUUAAAUGAUGGAAGAUUAGACUGAUUUGCAGAAUUUAGUAGAAAGUACUGAGAUUAUUAUUUAUUAUUCAAGUUUUAAAUGCAUCCCUUCAGUCUUUAAAGGUCAUCAAUGUUGAAAUGAGAUGCAAAUGGUUUAAAAAUUAUGUCAAAAUCUCUACUCUGGAGGAGGAAAAACAUCGUCUAAGCAUAACUGAGGAAAAGGUGUUUUACUUCUACUUCAGGCAAGUGCAGCUUUAACAAUGAGAUACGUCAUGAAAUACAUUUCAGGCUGCAUGAGUGUAUCAACAGGCACAGUGGGCUACAUAAUCAUCAUGUUAUGAUCACACUAUAAACUCUUCACCCAAAUGUACAUAGGAAUUGCUACGCUUGAAAGUUAAAGACAGUUUGCGUUUUUUUGGCCAUCAAUCUCAGUUUGUGCAUCAUUGAUUAAAACAGAGACUUGUGCAUAAUGACUGCCUUAAAACAUGAGGAAAUGGCUAUUUCCACGAUGUAUAAAUCUAUCAGGUUAUCACUACUUUCACUUCUUGUACAUACAUUUAAUUCAGUACCAAUGUCAUAUGUUUUAUUGGUCAUUUAAUGGGUCAUUUUAUAAAAGUAUCCUGCUUUUGUCUUAAACAACAUGCAAAACCUUUGAGCUUUUCAGUGGUGACCGAGUUAUUUCCAGGCCUGGGCCAAAAUACACAAACAAGUUUUUAGAAGUGUUAGACUGAAAAGGAAUUCCACAAUGAAAACAGUAUAAUUUUUGAUGGUUUUGUCUUUAACAUUUUGACAUCUGUCAGUAUUUUACACUCCAUCCAUCUUGGUGCAAACCUGUUUAGAAAUCACAUCUACAUACAACUAAUCUGCAAUAACAAAUGUGUUUAGAAGGAAAAGUAAUGCAUCCUGGAUUAGGUUUUCCAUUAAUAUAAUGAGGAAAUGCUUUUAAUUAAUAUGCUUAGGGAGUUGAAAUGUGGAUGCUAACUGCUCGCUAACAACAUGUUUCAUUUCUAUCGACUAAAAUGUUUCUUUCUGAUAUACUAGAUCCACUUGUACUCACUAAAGCAUUAUUAUUUUUUAUGGUAAUGUUUAGGCACUGCAUGGUUGCACUUGGUUAAAGUUAGAAGUUGGAAAGGUUAGAUAAAAGUCUGCAGUAACUUUACACACAACAUAUUUGUUACCAUUUACCUAAAACCACUAUAUUUUCCUAACCUUAACCAAAGUGCCUUUGUUGCCUAAACCUAACUAUAGAUCAGAGUUAUGAACCCUGUGUUUCAGACGUCCACCAUCUACCCCAACCUCCUCCCACCAACAGUAGUAUAAUUCAUUGAUGUACUUCUUCGUUCAUUUAAAAACAAAUCUUGUAGUUAUAAUAUUACAGUAACUUGGAGGAAACAGAUUUGCUGAGGGAUGAAGUUCCAUCUAACUUGACCCAGGACUGGAAAUAACAUUUUUGUACUUAAACACAGCAAGAAAGUGUGUCAGUUUUACUCCUAUAUUUAUAGUUUGACCCAAUCUGGGCCUGCUUGGACAAGUUGAAUCAGGUCAGGUCAUGAGACAGUUUGAACUGAAAUUAACUUUGUUUUUCAUUAAUUCAUGGGAAAGAGACUUGCAUGUAACGGUCUGAUCAGUUAUUUCUCAUCUGUAGAUUUGCAUUGAUGGAAUAGUUCAACGUUUGGGGAAAACACAGAGUUUUAGAGGUGCUUGAAGGUGGAUUUUGCUACCUUUAUACUAAGCUGAACUAACAUGCUGCUGACUGUCCUCACAUUUUGAGGUCAGAUAUGAGAGUGGUAUUGAUCUGAUCUUCAACUCUCAGCAAGAAAACAAAUAGGCUCCCAAAUGUCGUUCCAUUCCAGCAAAGAAAGAAGCUAUAGGAGAUGAAAAAAAGGCGUAAAAAUAACGAUGUACAGUAUGUAGAGAAUGUACGGCUUUAGACUGCAGGCUACAUUACCUGUAAAAUAUUAUUUGAGUUUGUCAGUUAAUAACCUCGUGACUUCAGAAAGUGCCUGAGAUAAAAGUGUCUCACCCUCACGGUGGAGAGGUGAAGGAAAGGAAACCACAAACCAGUGAGGGGAUCUUUAUACGGCCACCUGUCAUACAGUUAGGAGAGAGGAAAAAGUUGAAGAAAAACAUGUAUUAUGUAUGCAGCAGCAGAGUGUUGCAUUCAUAAUGGGACUGGAUUUCUACUACAUGGCUUAGUUAAUAAAGCCGGCCACCGUUUGUCUUGGAUGAAGUGCACCUACUUGUUUCACACAAUACAGAAAAUGAAAGCUUAGUAAGCACACGGACAAGUCUGACGAAUGUAUUCAUAUUUGAUGUAAAAUCUGAUCAUUCUUGUUCUCCUUAUUGUUUACUUAUCUUUCCUGAAGCAAUGUAAUCAGAACAAUUCUUUAUGUUUUAUUUAUGCGUAUGCAAAAUCUAUUUAAACUCAUUGUAUUGGUCUCUUGUGGGUGACAAAUGGAUGGGCUAAACGUUUUUCAGCCUGCAGUUUUGUUAAAAAAAAAAACCUUGAAUAAAUACAUCUUGGAAGUGA